rnacentral:rRNA from 1 species
CGGGAGACACACGGCGGGUGCUAACGUCCGUCGUGGAGAGGGAAACAACCCUGACCGACAGCUAAGGCCCCCAAUUCGUGGCUAAGUGGGAAAGGAUGUGGGACUCCCAAAACAACCAGGAGGUUGGCUUAGAAGCAGCCAUCCUUUAAAGAAAGCGUAACAGCUCACUGGUCUAAAUAAGGGGUCCUGCGCCGAAAAUGUAACGGGGCUCAAGCCACGAGCCGAAGCUUCGGGUGUAUCGCAAGAUACGCGGUAGCGGAGCGUUCCCUAGGCCGUUGAAGGGAUACUCGUGAGAGAUCCUGGAGGUAUGGGAAGUGCGAAUGCUGACAUGAGUAACGACAAAGAGUGUGAAAGACACUCUCGCCGAAAGUCCAAGGGUUCCUGCGUAAAGUUAAUCUUCGCAGGGUUAGCCGGCCCCUAAGGCGAGGCCGAAAGGCGUAGUCGAUGGGAACGGGGCGAAUAUUCCCCGGCCAGUGGAUGGUG